GACAGAAGGUGCAAGCGUUACUCGGAAUCACUGGGCGUAAAGCGUCCGCAGGUGUCCUGUUAAGUCUGGCGUCAAAUGGCGAUGCUCAACAUCGUCACUGUGUCGGAAACUGGCGGGAUAGAGUCACUCAGAGGCAUCUGGAAUGCCGUGUGUAGGGGUAAAAUCCGUUGAUCCACGGUAGAACGCCAAAAGCAAAGGCAGGAUGCUAGGGGUGUACUGACACUCAGGGACGAAAGCGUGGGGAG
rnacentral:rRNA from 1 species